rnacentral:rRNA from 1 species
AUUGAACGCUGGCGGCAUGCCUUACACAUGCAAGUCGAACGGUAACGCGGGGCAACCUGGCGACGAGUGGCGAACGGGUGAGUAAUAUAUCGGAACGUGCCCAGUAGUGGGGGAUAGCCCGGCGAAAGCCGGAUUAAUACCGCAUACGACCUACGGGUGAAAGCGGGGGAUCGCAAGACCUCGCGCUAUUGGAGCGGCCGAUAUCAGAUUAGGUAGUUGGUGGGGUAAAGGCCUACCAAGCCUACGAUCUGUAGCUGGUCUGAGAGGACGACCAGCCACACUGGGACUGAGACACGGCCCAGACUCCUACGGGAGGCAGCAGUGGGGAAUUUUGGACAAUGGGCGCAAGCCUGAUCCAGCCAUGCCGCGUGCGGGAAGAAGGCCUUC